UUUGUUUAGCCUCUAAUUAUUCAUAUUGGUCGGUCUGGUCGGUUUUGAUGUCUUAGUGGUUUAUUGAGAACCAAAACCAAAUACCGAACCCAAAAAAAAAAAAAUGUGUUGUAUCAAUUUUGGAUGUAUCGGUUUGGUCCGUACAAUUGGGUCGAUCUGAUUUUUGUCCUUCCGUGACUUUAUCUGUAAAAACAGAGGAUGAGGAUCAACACAUCAUCUCUCCCUUCUUUCCUUUGCCAAGUCUUCUCCAUUGCUGGCGGUUUCAUCUUUCAUAAGCCGAACCUCAUCUUCCAUGACAGGAUUAGAUUGAAAGAAGAAGAAGAAGAAGAAGAAGAAGAAGAAGAAGCUGACAGAGAAGAGGUUAGGAAGGGAUGAUGAUGUCAUUGUACGGGUCAUGGCCGAUUGUUCCCAUGCGGAGGCAGCAAUUCAAACAAGGCAAUGUUUUCCAAGACCAUGGUGAAGGGAUCGUAGCCCAUUGUGACCUCAAACAAUAAGAGGAAAGAAGUGAGAAGAGAUGAGGUUCAGUUAGUGUUCACAUCUGAACUGUCCAUUGUUCAGCUACCAGUAAAAAUUUGUUGAAAAUGUAAAAGAUACUGUAAUAGGAAUAAGAAUGCAGUGGCAGUUCAAUGUCAAAAGACUUAUUGACUCACAACAACAUGAUACAGCAUUGUGA